UACGUAGGGUGCGAGCGUUAAUCGGAAUUACUGGGCGUAAAGGGCGCGUAGGUGGCGCGGUAAGCGUGCGGUGAAAGCCUGGGGCUCAACCCCGGGUCGGCCGUGCGAACUGCUGGGCUUGAGCACUGUAGAGGCAGGCGGAAUUCCGGGUGUAGCGGUGGAAUGCGUAGAGAUCCGGAAGAACACCGGUGGCGAAGGCGGGUCUCUGGGCCGAUACUGACGCUGAGGAGCGAAAGCGUGGGGAGCGAACAGG
rnacentral:rRNA from 1 species